ACGUCAGACAUUGAGACGAACAUCAGGAUGAUGACGUUUCAGAGGAACGCCAGGAUGGUGCUGCAAGGAAAGGCUUCAGGAUGAAGCAAAGAGGAUGGCGCAGGACGCGUUAAGGGACACCUCCAGGAUGGAGAAUGAGAGCCAGUCUGGACGAUUGGCGGAUCGGGAAGAUCGGGACCUGCUUAUGGACAGGCAUAUCGUAUCGGGGUGGUACGUGCAGGAUGCAACGGUUUAUGGAUGAACUGGUCAGGAGACCGCAGGAAAAGUUGUCAUGGAUGAGCAGGGAGCACCAAAUUAUGUAGCCGGAUUGCUGCGAAACGAACCGGGAGCACUGUGAAAACAGUGCUCCCUUUUUUUAUG
rfam:Pluralibacter gergoviae strain JS81F13 contig_4, whole genome shotgun sequence.